CCCUUAGAGUUUGAUCCUGGCUCAGGACGAACGCUGGCGGCGCGCCUAACACAUGCAAGUCGAACGAGAGAUGAGGAGCUUGCUCUUCAAAUCGAGUGGCGAACGGGUGAGUAACGCGUGAGGAACCUGCCUCAAAGAGGGGGACAACAGUUGGAAACGACUGCUAAUACCGCAUAAGCCCACGGCUCGGCAUCGAGCAGAGGGAAAAGGAGUGAUCCGCUUUGAGAUGGCCUCGCGUCCGAUUAGCUAGUUGGUGAGGUAACGGCCCACCAAGGCGACGAUCGGUAGCCGGACUGAGAGGUUGAACGGCCACAUUGGGACUGAGACACGGCCCAGACUCCUACGGGAGGCAGCAGUGGGGAAUAUUGCACAAUGGGGGAAACCCUGAUGCAGCGACGCCGCGUGGAGGAAGAAGGUCUUCGGAUUGUAAACUCC
rnacentral:rRNA from 1 species